UACGUAGGGUGCAAGCGUUGUCCGGAAUUAUUGGGCGUAAAGAGCUUGUAGGCGGUUUGUCGCGUCUGCUGUGAAAUUUCGGGGCUCAACCCCGAACUUGCAGUGGGUACGGGCAGACUAGAGUGUGGUAGGGGAGACUGGAAUUCCUGGUGUAGCGGUGAAAUGCGCAGAUAUCAGGAGGAACACCGAUGGCGAAGGCAGGUCUCUGGGCCACUACUGACGCUGAGAAACGAAAGCAUGGGGAGCGAACAGG
rnacentral:rRNA from 1 species